GCCCAGACUCCUACGGGAGGCAGCAGUGGGGAAUAUUGCACAAUGGGGGAAACCCUGAUGCAGCGACGCCGCGUGAGCGAUGAAGUAUUUCGGUAUGUAAAGCUCUAUCAGCAGGGAAGAAAAUGACGGUACCUGACUAAGAAGCCCCGGCUAACUACGUGCCAGCAGCCGCGGUAAUACGUAGGGGGCAAGCGUUAUCCGGAUUUACUGGGUGUAAAGGGAGCGUAGACGGCAAUGCAAGCCAGAUGUGAAAGCCCGGGGCUCAACCCCGGGACUGCAUUUGGAACUGUGUAGCUGGAGUGUCGGAGAGGCAGGCGGAAUUCCUAGUGUAGCGGUGAAAUGCGUAGAUAUUAGGAGGAACACCAGUGGCGAAGGCGGCCUGCUGGACGAUGACUGACGUUGAGGCUCGAAAGCGUGGGGAGCAAACAGGAUUAGAUACCCGCGUAAA
rnacentral:rRNA from 1 species